rfam:Clostridium sp. CAG:7 genomic scaffold, scf140
AGACGUUGAAGGAUAGCAGCGUACCGGAAAGCCUUGCUAUACGGAGUCUUUAAAAGGGGUUGUGCAGUGAAACCUCAAACCGGAGUAGGUCAAUGAACCGAAUGAAAAUGCUCAAA